UACGUAGGGGGCGAGCGUUAUCCGGAAUUAUUGGGCGUAAAGAGCUCGUAGGCGGUUUGUCGCGUCUGCUGUGAAAACGCGAGGCUCAACCUCGCGCCUGCAGUGGGUACGGGCAGACUAGAGUGCGGUAGGGGAGACUGGAAUUCCUGGUGUAGCGGUGGAAUGCGCAGAUAUCAGGAGGGACACCGGUGGCGAAGGCGGGUCUCUGGGCCGUAACUGACGCUGAGGAGCGAAAGCGUAGGUAGCAAACAGG
rnacentral:misc_RNA from 1 species